rnacentral:rRNA from 1 species
UUACCGAGUGCGGGUCCUUUGGGCCCAACCUCCCAUCCGUGUCUAUUAUACCCUGUUGCUUCGGCGGGCCCGCCGCUUGUCGGCCGCCGGGGGGGCGCCUUUGCCCCCCGGGCCCGUGCCCGCCGGAGACCCCAACACGAACACUGUCUGAAAGCGUGCAGUCUGAGUUGAUUGAAUGCAAUCAGUUAAAACUUUCAACAAUGGAUCUCUUGGUUCCGGCAUCGAUGAAGAACGCAGCGAAAUGCGAUAACUAAUGUGAAUUGCAGAAUUCAGUGAAUCAUCGAGUCUUUGAACGCACAUUGCGCCCCCUGGUAUUCCGGGGGGCAUGCCUGUCCGAGCGUCAUUGCUGCCCUCAAGCCCGGCUUGUGUGUUGGGUCGCCGUCCCCCUCUCCGGGGGGACGGGCCCGAAAGGCAGCGGCGGCACCGCGUCCGAUCCUCGAGCGUAUGGGGCUUUGUCACAUGCUCUGUAGGAUUGGCCGGCGCCUGCCGACGUUUUCCAACCAUUUUUUCCAGGUUGACCUCGGAUCAGGUAGGGAUACCCGCUGAACUUAAGCAUAUCAAUAAGCGGAGGAAAAGAAACCAACCGGGAUUGCCUCAGUAACGGCGAGUGAAGCGGCAAGAGCUCAAAUUUGAAAGCUGGCUCCUUCGGAGUCCGCAUUGUAAUUUGCAGAGGAUGCUUUGGGUGCGGCCCCCGUCUAAGUGCCCUG